GAUAUGUAAGUCAGAGGUGAAAGCCCGCAGCUUAACUGUGGAAUUGCCUUUGAUACUGCAUAUCUUGAGUCUGGUUGAGGUAGGCGGAAUGUAGUAUGUAGCGGUGAAAUGCAUAGAUAUACUACAGAACACCCAUUGCGAAGGCAGCUUACCAAACCAGCACUGACGCUCAGGCACGAAAGCGUGGGGAGCAAACAGGAUUAGAUACCCUGGUAGUCCACGCCGUAAACGUUGAUCACUCGUUGUUGGCAAUACACCGUCAGCGACUAAGCAAAAGCAUUAAGUGAUCCACCUGGGGAGUACGAUCGCAAGGUUGAAACUCAAAGGAAUUGACGGGGGCCCGCACAAGCGGAGGAGCAUGUGGUUUAAUUCGAUGAUACGCGAGGAACCUUACCCGGGCUUAAAUGUAGCGUGCAUUCCCGAGAAAUCGGGAUUUCCUUCGGGACCCGCUACAAGGUGCUGCAUGGUUGUCGUCAGCUCGUGCCGUGAGGUGUCGGGUUAAGUCCCAUAACGAGCGCAACCCCUAUCUUUAGUUGCCAGCAGGUAAAGCUGGGGACUCUAAAGAAACUGCCCGCGCAAGCGGUGAGGAAGGUGGGGAUGACGUCAAAUCAGCACGGCCCUUAUGUCCGGGGCUACACACGUGCUACAAUGGCCGGUACAGUGGGCAGCUCAUGCGCGAGCAUUUGCUAAUCUCUAAAACCGGUCUCAGUCCGGAUCGGAGUCUGCAACCCGACUCCGUGAAGCUGGAUUCGCUAGUAA
rnacentral:rRNA from 1 species